UGCAGAAUCCCGUGAACCAUCGAGUCUUUGAACGCAAGUUGCGCCCGAAUCCUUUUGGUCGAGGGCACGUCUGCCUGGGUGUCACGUACACAUGCCUCCCGCAAACCUUCCCCCUUUGUGGAUGAAGUGCCUUGCGGGAGCAGAUAAUGGUAUCCCGUGCUCUUUCCGCGCGGCUUGCCUAAAAAUGGAGAGCCGGUGAUGUAACGUCACGCCUAGUGGUGGUUAACGAGGCCUAAUGGCCAACCAGUUCGCGGCGUGACUAGUAUUCACCGAAAAUCUCCCGCGACACCUUGGACGUCCUCUGAUGGACGUGCUAUUGUCGCGACCCCAGGUCAGGCGGGACUACCCGCUGAAUUUAAGCAUAUCAAUAAGCGGAGGAAGAGAAACUUACAAGGAUUCCCUUAGUAACGGCGAGCGAACCGGGAAGAGCCCAGCUUGUAAAUCGGGCAGCUUUGCUGCUUGA
rnacentral:rRNA from 1 species